GUCCUAUAGGACCGGAUUCCCGGUCAUCGAUCCUAGACCCGAAAAAUAAAUGGACAGGUCGGCUCGACCCAAAAAAUUCUAGGCCCGAAUUGAACCCGAUACGAACCCAGCCCGGUCCGCCCAUUUUACACCCCUAGAUAAAAGGGCACCAAAUUUCUCAUCCAAAAGUUCCAAAAAUUGGAUGAAAAAAAAGGGAAUGAACGGUCCACGUUUAUUCAGUUUUCUGUUAAUUAAAUUGAUCCAAUAACCGACAAUAAACCGGUUGGUCUAGAAGACGAAUCAGAUUUGGCGGUCUUAACUCACAAGAAGGAUUACCUUCUCUUUCUUUCUCAGCAUCGGUCUCGUGAGAAACUCGACAGGACCUCAGCCGCUUUGAUUCUAACUCAGAAAUUUCAUCAGAUUCCAGCACAAAGAUUUCAGCUUUUCAUCCUUUAAUCUCAUCUGCUCUGAAACAACAUCAAGAUCUUCGUUCAUGUUUGAAGCUCACCUUGGUCUGGAUUCAACAGCGAAAUCACCGAUAUCAGCAGCACCAAUCUCAGAAUGGGAGAUGGUGGCAUGCUUCAGAUGCAUCCAAAGAAGCAGAUUUUGGUUUGAUCUAUGUGUCCCCCACAUAUCGAAUCUCUUCCGGAGAUGUUAACAAUCUUCCAACUUUCACAAGUUGACAAAUACGUAGCUUUAUGAGCCCCCGAAAUUCAAAGAUCCAGUUUUUAUGGAGAUUUGUGCGCUAUGCCAUUCAAAACUUCCAAUGACUUUGUUUUUUUUUUCAAUUCAAGAUCGACCAGUACGAGAUUGGAUCUGUCAACAACGAUGAACGAAUCACAGCGAGGAAGAAGAAGAAGAAGAAGAAGGAGAGAUGAUGACAAUGAUAAUACACAAAACAAAAGAGAUAUGCAAACACUCAUUUUCGCUGUGAGAGAGGAAAUCUCCAGAGCAUGAUACAAUACUAACGUGUAAACCAGGAUUUUGGAUUUCGACAUUGAUUCGAUCCCGGAAACAACACUCUUGACAGAGAAAAAAACCAUGACAUGAACAGAAAGAAGUAAGGAAUUCGAUGAAGAAAAAACCCAGAUGAACAAAUCAGCAAUUUGUCCUCGUCUUGUACGAUCGGAUAACUUCAAACCCUUUUCUUGGCGAAUCCAAAAAGAAAAAAAGAAAACA